GCAGGACAUGUGAAACCCACAACCCUGUUUUUUUUUUUACAAAAAAACUAAAUAUCCCUUAAAUAAAAUUUUGAAUCAAAACCAAAAAGUAUACAGAUCUUUAGAUUAAUAUAACAAAGAAGUGUAUAAAGUUUUAAGCAAUAAUCAUAAAUCGUUUUUGAGAUACGGCACGACAUGUAAACCCCCCCCCUUUUUUAAAAAAAAUACUCAAUAACUCAAAAAUGAAAUUUGAAUCAUCACCAAAAAGUAUACAGAUCUUUAGAUUAAUAUAACUAAGAAGUGUGUAAAGUUUUAAGCAAUAAUCAUAAAUCGUUUUUGAGAUAUGGCGCGACAUGUAAAAAACCCUCCCCCUUUUUUACAAAAUACUCAAUAACUCAAAAAUGAAAUUUUGAAUCAUCACCAAAAAGUAUACAGAUAUUAAGAUUAAUAUAACUAGGAAGUGUGUAAAGUUUUAAGCAAUAAUCAAGAAUCGUUUUUGAGAUACGGUGCGACAUGUGAAAAAAAACACACCCCUGUUUUAGUUACAAAGUGCCGUAACUCAAAAAGUUUAAAUCUUAUUUUCACCAAAAAGUAUACAGAUCAUUUGACCAUCAUAAAAAACAACUAUAUUAAGUUUCAUGAAAUUUAGAUAAGUCGUUCUCAAGUUACGGUGCGACAUGUUUACGCCGGACAGACAGACGGACAGACGGACAGACGGACGGACGGACACAGGACAUUUGUAUACCAUAAUACGUCCCGUCAAAAUUUUGACGGGCGUAUAAAAAUACGCAAA
rnacentral:lncRNA from 1 species